UAUGGCCACAUCAUGUUUAAACACUGGUUCCUGUAUGAUCACUGAAGUUGAGCAAUGUUGAGCUUGGUCAGUACUUAAAUGGGUGACCACUUGGGAAUAUCAGGUGCUGUAA